UACGUAGGGUGCAAGCGUUGUCCGGAUUUAUUGGGCGUAAAGAGCGUGUAGGCGGCCAUACAGGUCAGCUGUGAAAACUCGAGGCUCAACCUCGAGACGUCGGUUGAAACCGUAUGGCUAGAGUCCGGAAGAGGAGAGUGGAAUUCCCGGUGUAGCGGUGAAAUGCGCAGAUAUCGGGAGGAACACCGAUUGCGAAGGCAGCUCGCUGGAACGUUACUGACGCUGAGACGCGAAAGCGUGGGGAGCAAACAGG
rnacentral:rRNA from 1 species